GGUAAAAUGACUGAUAUAAAUAGGUGAUAAAUUGUAAAUUUAUUUAAGAGAUAUUCUCUUUUACCA
rnacentral:tRNA from 1 species